GUAACAAGGUUAGAUGUCCAUGUAAAAAAUGUAACAAAGACGCUUUACCUGAAGAUAACAAAGUGUUUGAUAACUAUUAUUAGACUAAGAAACUAGUGCGUAGUUUGGGUUUGCCAGUUGAAAAAAUUGAUUGUUGUGAUUCAGGAUGUAUGUUGUAUUGGGGUGAUGAUGAACACCUUACAUCUUGUAAAUUCUGUGGUAACCAGAGGUAUAAGCGUCGUGUCGGCUCUCGUAAGAGGAAAUUGGUCCCUACAAGAAAAUGUAUUAGUUUUCUUUGAUUCCUAGAUUGAAAAGAUUAUAUGCAUCCCAUGCUACAACUGCCGACAUGAUUCUAUCUCGGAAAUGCAGCAACAACUUGCCUUAAGGGCAGAACUGUUUGGCCUCAAAUUUGGUCCAAAAGCAGCAAAGGCUUAGCCCAAGAUUUAGAAGCAAUUUGGCUCCCAAACUAUUGCAAAAAUCUUCCUGGAUGUGGCAUAGGUUCCCAACCAAGUGCAGCAGUUUUUUGCCCCAAACAUGCAACAACAAAUAGCCAAAACCACAGUGGCGUUCGGCCUAAAAAUGGCAACAAGUACAGUAGCAAUUUGCAUUAGUAUGCAGCAACAAAAUGGCUCAAAUUUGCUAUUUGUUGCUAGCAUGAUAGCAUGAGGUUUACCCUAUUGUUUAUACACCUGAGAUCGAUACAUAUCUCAAUGUUAAUGUGCCUCACUCAUAUUAUUGGCACUAUUAGAAAAUACACAUGUUUGAAUGUUGACAUGGCUAUGGAUCUACUUAUGUAUUUUUAUUCACUAUUAAGAGGUAGUAGAAUAUCUCUAACUUCUUCACCCCUCUCUUUCUUUGCACGACUUGGGAAAAUUCAAUCCCAAAUGUCCUUGAGAUACUAUUACAGACUACUGUCAAAGUGGAAGGACUUGCAGUCACGGUGUGGUUCCAUUUUGAGCUACUGUUGUGAUUGGUUGAUCUGUUUUGAGGGAUGUUCACAGCACUCAUAAGCUGUUGCUGAGCUUGGGAAAAUUGCUGCAUUUGAAGUUCUCUAAGUGUUGCGAAUGAGCUGCUACUUUGUUGUUAUAUUUGUUAUCAUAAACUGCUGGAUUAUUGGCCAUUUGCACCUCGUUUUGGGAGUGGUCUGCUGCUGAAUUUUUGGCCAUAUUGUCCUCGCAUUUUGCGGUUUUGCUGCUGCAUUUUUGGGGCAAAAAUUGCCCCACGAAAUGUUGAUUUGUUGCUGUAAUUCUGAGCUAAAGUUUCUGCCGAAUCUCGGGCAAAUUUGAGCCAUUUUGUUGCUGCAUACUAAUGCAAAUUGCUACUGUAGUUGUUGCCAUUUUUAGGUACGCCACCGGUUCAAGUGUCAGAUCACGGUAGUAACCCAACCAUCCCUGAAUUAUCUCCCAUUACACCUGAUCUGAGCAGCCCAAUAGAUGAGGGUACAUCAAACCAUAGCAACACUGUCAGCGAAGAAGAGUCCAGUAGUCGUCGUAGGCAGCGGACACUUACACUUGUUACUCUUACUCCUGCAGGGUCGGAACCUUCUAAAGAAUGCUCUAAUACCAUAUCCGCAUCUUUCAAAAAUCAACUUGAUCCCAAUGGAAUCAAUUGGAAAGGUGUCUCAGUAGAUACUAGAAAUUUUUAUUUUGGGGAAUUCAAGGACUACACCUCUGGAACCAAAUCAGACAGCAGUGGAUAGGACACAAGAAGCAUGUCAACCAACCACAACAGCUUCAUGAACCUAAACUAAAGUGAGAUGUCUGUCUUAGAUCCCUAUACUGCCUUACAUGAAUGGCUUGUAAUGACAUAGCAAUAGCAGGUCUUUUGCUUCUUACCGGAAACAUGAGGCAUUAUGUAGUUGUGGAAUCAUUUUUCUAUUUGAUAUAGAGGCAAAACAUAUACCUAUCGAAAAAAAAGAAGAUAUAGAGGCAUCGCAUAUAGGUGAUAGGCAUGCAUGCAACGGUUGGAAUCUGAACAAAUCUCUUGGACUAGGUGUAAGCUUUGAAUGGCGGUGAUUUAAUGGUCUUAACUACUGAAGUUUUUGAUCUUCCACAUUUGGUGUUCUAAACUGCUGGCGUGACAGCAUAUAGACUAGUUUUUAUUUUAUUAAUUUGCUGAACUUAAUCUCUUUUGUUAUGGUGUAAAUAGUCUUGUCAUAUAAGUUUCCCAUUGAGGAAAGAUUCAAAGAUUUCGCAAAAUUAUUGAUCCACAGAGUAAAUAAUGCUUCACAUUUUGCAAUAGCCCAUAUCCAGCCUUUAACUUUAUCACUUUUGAAGGCAUAGAAUAACUAUGAAUCACUGAAGUGUAAAGCAUGUUGCUAUAUGUUCUAUUUCUCUUCAAAUAAAUUAG